UGCAACUGGGUGUUCUAAUCUCCCCCAUUAUAGCUAUCUAUCUACCACCCUCACCCUUUCCCCCCCUCUCUCUCUCUCUCUCUCUCUCUCUCUCUCUCUCUCUCUCCUCCUUACAGUCACAGAGCUAUCUAUCUUAAUUCAAUUCAUAUGGGGCACGUUGACAGAGAUGAAGCCGGGUAGAGGAGGGGAGGCAAUAGCUGUGGGAACUGACGGUGGGUGUUGAGCAUGAUGGAGAAGCAGGGCACGUGCAUUACUAACUCCAAUUAUGCUCUUCCUGCUGUUGCUGCUGCUGCUGCUGCCAGCUAUAUAUAUAUAUAUAUAUAUAUAUAUAUAUACGUGCAUACAUAUAUAUAUAUAUAUAUAUAUAUAGAAAGAGAUUUAAUUACUUGAUUUAAGUGGAGUUGGUUAUUCAUGUGCCCGUCUUCGCCAUCGUGGCCACUCUUACCUCUUCUAAUUUAUGCAUAUGCGUCUACCCUAAAGAGAUUUCCUGGCUAGCUACUUCCAGCACUGCCGAGAAAAAUAGGACUGCCAGAAGAAAGAAGUACCCAGUACUUUGUUAAUUUCUCAUAUAUCCAUAUUCAAAUCGCCCAAACCCCUAUGCUCCAAAAGGUAUAUGUAUGAUAUCAUAUAUAAUGGCAAAUUAAUAAAGGGGUAAUGGCUGAGUGGGUAGCUAGGGAGGACAAUGGAGAUUACAAGACAGUAGCGGCGGAGCCAGGGCGUCAGCGGAAUUGAUCAAAUUUCAACAAUGCCGCCGGAGACAAGAUUGACUGUUUGACUCUGAGAGGGCCGACGGAGAAUUUUAUUUAACAAAAUUACAAAUAUGAGAUGAUCCAGUCAUCUAUCCUUAGACUUGACCAUGGAAAAUUCUUCGAUUAACAUGUGUACUGAUUAAUUAAUUGAUUAAUCAAUUACUACUGUAUGUACAGUCCCCCCUAUAUAGAGUUUUUUGAUGAUGUUCAACUUC